GUCGAGAAUCUUCCGCAAUGCGCGAAAGCGUGACGGAGCGACACCGCGUGAUGGAUGAAGUCCUUCGGGGCGUAAACAUCUUUUAUAAAGGAGGAAAUUUUUGACGUUACUUUAUGAAUAAGGGGCUCCCAAUCUCGUGCCAGCAGGAGCGGUAAUACGAGAGCCUCAAGCGUUAUCCGGAAUCAUUGGGCGUAAAGGGUGCGUAGGUGGUUUGAUUAGUCUCCCGUUAAAACUUCGAGCUUAACUCGAAAAGAGCGGGGGAAACGGUCAAACUAGAGUAUGUGAGAGGUGUGUGGAACUCAUGGUGUAGGGUUGAAAUCCGUUGAUAUCAUGGGGAACACCAAAAGCGAAGGCAGCACACUGGCACAUCACUGACACUGAGGCACGAAACCUAAGGUAGCGAAUGGGAUUAGAUACCCCAGUAGUCC
rnacentral:rRNA from 1 species